CUGCGUGACGAAGCGGGCAAGACAGGCAACAAUAGCGCCUGAGCUCCAAGUCACUCGUCCUGAUGCCGGUUCGCCGGCAUUUUUUA
rfam:Beauveria bassiana D1-5 contig00910, whole genome shotgun sequence.